UACGGAGGAUGCAAGCGUUAUCCGGAAUGAUUGGGCGUAAAGCGUCCGCAGGUGGCUGUGUAAGUCUGCUGUUAAAGAGUGAGGCUCAACCUCAUAAAAGCAGUGGAAACUACACAGCUAGAGUGCGUUCGGGGCAGAGGGAAUUCCUGGUGUAGCGGUGAAAUGCGUAGAGAUCAGGAGGAACACCGGUGGCGAAGGCGCUCUGCUAGGCCGCAACUGACACUGAGGGACGAAAGCUAGGGGAGCGAAUGGG
rnacentral:rRNA from 1 species